CAUACAGUGCAGACGUGUGACUAUGGAUGCAACUAUGAAUGCAAAUGAUCACCCAUCCUUUUCAACACCAGGCUUGGGUCCCAAUAUGACCCCUGGAGAUCUUGUGAAGUUCAUAGAUUACUCCAUUCCCUCCAACUCUGGUGUUCAUGAGGAUGACAAUGAUGUGAUCCAUUCAACCAACUUUGUGAACCACUUCUUAGGCUCAAGUAAUCAGAGUACCCCUGAAGAUUUGGUUCAGUUUGUUGCAUAAUCAAUUGUUGAUGAGGAUGACAAUUAUGUAGUCAUCUGAUUGGGAGAGUUAUGGGCCAACCUCCUUCCUGUCUCAGUAGAGACCAGUCCUCUCAGUCAGAAGACCUUGACUACCUAUCAGACCCACCAUGUUUCGGGAGACCCGACCAGACCAGAGGGCUUUGACUCCCCAGGAACGUCCUCACCGCUCUGGGUUGACCCAGUCCUGUUGGUCUGAGACCACUGAUGCCUACUCCCCUAGUAGAACGAAGAGCUCCGUAGUAUCUCAAACCACCUCUCGGAUAAGAUCUUACUCUACCAUGCUGCUUAGUCUGCUAAACUUUGAUUAUUGGUCAAUUAAUUUUUCUGGUAAAUUGCUCAAUCCACUCUCUUUACGAGCAAAAAAUGUUCCCUCUUGAUCUAUAGAUUGGGGCUUGCCUCAUUUGAAUGCCUGGAACCAAUCGUUCCAGUCUGGCUAUGAUCACUAUGACAACCCUGGCUACCUGUCAGUUAUGAGUUCUUCCUCUGUCUCGUGUGGUAGUUUGUCUAAUUUGUCUAAUUUGCUUGAUUUUGCAUUGGAUUGGUUUGUUUGAGUGUUGUUUCAACCUCUUUACCAUCUGUCACGUUGUCCCUGUUGAUCCACAGAGCCACCCUGUGUCUGGACUCCUGACUCCAGCGGAGCAGGGAGCCCUGAGCAGCCCAACAGCCCCUGGGAGUCUCUUAACCAGAGGGCUUGGACUCCCUAGGACAGUCCCUGUUGCUUUUUAGCUCCUGCAGAUGAUGUGGUGUACAUGGGAACAACCACCAGGUCCUUCCUGGAGUCCCAGGAUAUUCCCCGCCGCUCUGUGACUCAUGAUGAAGAUGUUAUGUACAUUAGAACAACCACCAUAUCCGUCCUAGACUCCCAGGAUAUUUCCCGAUGCUCUGGCUCCACCCACAGCAAGCACUCUGAGACACCCACCUCAAAUGUAUGCUUUACUAUUAUUAAGGAGGAACUAUGGAAUAUGUGGAUCUCAGAUACAUCCCAGGACUUCAGACGGGCUCUCCAGUUGAGAUCUCUGCAUUCCUACAAGAGGACUGAGAAUUGAGUCUCAGUCUAACAAUAGGAAGAGGUGCCACUACCUGGGGUGGGACGCAGAGGACUGCCCUGCCAGCAAGAGAGCCUGGAAUUAAUAUCUCCAAUUGGCUCUCAGGCCUCAUAGAUGGAUAGAAUUGAGCAUGCUCUUCUUCACACUCUUAGUUUUAAAACAAAGACAAUUAAUAUAUUUGAAGUGCUUUGUUUUUUGCCAUUAAAAGCAGGCUUUAAAAACA